rnacentral:rRNA from 1 species
GACGAACGCUGGCGGCGUGCUUAACACAUGCAAGUCGAACGGAAAGGCCCUUCGGGGUACUCGAGUGGCGAACGGGUGAGUAACACGUGGGUGAUCUGCCCUGCACUUUGGGAUAAGCCUGGGAAACUGGGUCUAAUACCGAAUAUGACCAUGCGCCUCCUGGUGUGUGGUGGAAAGCUUUUGCGGUGUGGGAUGGGCCCGCGGCCUAUCAGCUUGUUGGUGGGGUAAUGGCCUACCAAGGCGACGACGGGUAGCCGGCCUGAGAGGGUGACCGGCCACACUGGGACUGAGAUACGGCCCAGACUCCUACGGGAGGCAGCAGUGGGGAAUAUUGCACAAUGGGCGCAAGCCUGAUGCAGCGACGCCGCGUGAGGGAUGACGGCCUUCGGGUUGUAAACCUCUUUCAGCACAGACGAAGCGCAAGUGACGGUAUGUGCAGAAGAAGGACCGGCCAACUACGUGCCAGCAGCCGCGGUAAUACGUAGGGUCCGAGCGUUGUCCGGAAUUACUGGGCGUAAAGAGCUCGUAGGUGGUUUGUCGCGUUGUUCGUGAAAACUCACAGCUUAACUGUGGGCGUGCGGGCGAUACGGGCAGACUUGAGUACUGCAGGGGAGACUGGAAUUCCUGGUGUAGCGGUGGAAUGCGCAGAUAUCAGGAGGAACACCGGUGGCGAAGGCGGGUCUCUGGGCAGUAACUGACGCUGAGGAGCGAAAGCGUGGGGAGCGAACAGGAUUAGAUACCCUGGUAGUCCACGCCGUAAACGGUGGGUACUAGGUGUGGGUUUCCUUCCUUGGGAUCCGUGCCGUAGCUAACGCAUUAAGUACCCCGCCUGGGGAGUACGGCCGCAAGGCUAAAACUCAAAGAAAUUGACGGGGGCCCGCACAAGCGGCGGAGCAUGUGGAUUAAUUCGAUGCAACGCGAAGAACCUUACCUGGGUUUGACAUGCACAGGACGACUGCAGAGAUGUGGUUUCCCUUGUGGCCUGUGUGCAGGUGGUGCAUGGCUGUCGUCAGCUCGUGUCGUGAGAUGUUGGGUUAAGUCCCGCAACGAGCGCAACCCUUGUCCUAUGUUGCCAGCGGGUUAUGCCGGGGACUCGUAGGAGACUGCCGGGGUCAACUCG